rnacentral:rRNA from 1 species
UACGGAGGGUGCAAGCGUUAAUCGGAAUUACUGGGCGUAAAGCGUGCGUAGGCGGUUUGUUUAGUCAGAUGUGAAAGCCCCGGGCUCAACCUGGGAACUGCAUUUGAUACUGGCAGACUAGAGUAUGGUAGAGGGGGGUAGAAUUCCUGGUGUAGCGGUGAAAUGCGUAGAGAUCUGGAGGAAUACCGGUGGCGAAGGCGGCCCCCUGGACGAAGACUGACGCUCAGGUGCGAAAGCGUGGGGAGCAAACAGG